ACGAGCUUGAGGAAAUAGACAUUUCGCGAUGGAAGAUGUACAGAAAAACAUCCAAGAAGACUGGCAAAACCGUGAAUUCGUGGAAGUUGUCUCGGAGGGCAUUAAAAAGAUCGCGGAAUUUCUGAAUGACUUCGGUAACGAAGGGAGAGACUUUGUCCUAGCACCUUGAUACCAGAAAGCACAGAAUAUUUUUGUAAAUAUGAGUCAACAAUAGCAAUGCUGAUAUAUAAACCCAAACAACAAUGGACAACAAAGAAUUCAUUCCCUGAAGAGAACAAGAAUAUGACUAGCAUCAGGCUAGAGUUAGAGAAUUAUCCAAAGGACUGAAACAAUUUUUUAGAGUUAAAAUUCACAUGGUCACAUUUCAACAUUUCUUAUUUUUUAGUCAAUGUUGAGAGUCUGGAAUCCUUCCCAAAAGCAGUUAAUAAACUGAAAAAAAUAUUUUUUGUUAAGAUAACAACUAAAACCCUUACCAACAACUUUGUUGACUAAAUUCCCCUACUAGCUGAAUACAGUAUUCACACACCUUCCUCAUCCUAGUUAUACAGUGAGACUAAGCUAGCAGUAGCAUCAUUUGCAAUACUAGUUUUGAUGGUUUGUGUGGUUGCAAGCCGCAGUCAUUUAUUAUACAUUUUUCAUAUGAUCUAUGUAACUUUCUAAAUCAACUUUUUCCCACUACUUUAAUUAUCAACACCCCUCCCCCCAUCAAUAGCAUACAGAUGAUUUCACAAAGAUUCUCUGGUAUUGGCCUAGGUUACAUGCAGAAAUCGUUAAUUAAUCGAUAAUUAUGCACGCCUCAACAUCAAUGAAUGUUCAGUGGCGGAUCCAGGCAUGGUGACGGAGGGGGGGAUGUAACCCCCCCCCCCCUCCUUGUUGGGCAAAAAAAAUCAUAAAUCGUUGCCAAUUGUUAUAGCCGUAUUCGAUGUAUCGCGAUGCUGGACGUAAACCAGACAAUAUUUGCAACAGGAAUGGAAGGUCACUGCACUUGGUGAAACAGGGCAUGAAUUAUAAAUCUGAAUGGUCUGAUCGGCGGAACACAAAAGCCUAAAACCAGAACAGCAUAAAGGGAUAGCACUUUGCAACAUUUUGUUAUCCCUUAAAAGAUAGCACAUUGGGUGUGGCGAUUUCUAACCCUAAGCUCUAAAAUCACUGUUAGAGCCCUAAGGGAAAGUAAAAGCAUAAGAAUUUUAUUUUAAGAUUUAUAAAUCCUGAAUCCGCCACUGACAUUGAUUUUAUCAACUUGUAAACUAACACUGAGCUGUGAAUGUACAAAAAAGUUACAAUAAUAAAACCAAAUUUAUAGGUAAA